GACGAGGGAUCCUAGCGUUGUUCGGAAUUACUGGGCGUAAAGGGCGCGUAGGCGGCCUUCUAAGUCAGACGUGAAAUCCCCCGGCUUAACCUGGGAACUGCGUCUGAUACUGGAGGGCUUGAGUGCGGGAGAGGGAAGUGGAAUUCCUGGUGUAGAGGUGAAAUUCGUAGAUAUCAGGAGGAACACCAGUGGCGAAGGCGGCUUCCUGGACACCAACUGACGCUGAGACGCGAAAGCGUGGGGAGCAAACAGG
rnacentral:rRNA from 1 species